AAAUCAACCCCCUUCACAUUAUAUGCAUUGACCAAAGAGAUGCAAAUAUGCUAGAGACAAGAGUGUCAAGAUUUACACUGACAGCAGUAUGCAGUUGGCCGAGAACAUGGAUUACGAAGUGUUCCCAACAUCUAAACAGGAUUCUUCAGCAGUGAAAGAGUCACUGCUCGGGAGAACUUAUCCAUGAUGGGAGAGUCUAAAAGGAUGUCCACUGAUAAUUGUACCCAAUUUGUAAGCGCAGCAUUAAGGAUGCUGGCAGAUGAAGGAGAAUCUAUUGGAAAUCCAUGGAAAGGGAGCUGCAUGCGAAGGAACCAGGAGACUGGAUUGUACUGAAGGACGUGAGGAGAAAAGAUUGGAAGAGGACGUCGAUGGAACGAGUGCAAGCCAAAUGCCUCUCACCAGAGGGAUGACAAGUGAAGGUCGCUGAGAGGGCAACCUGGAGACAUGCGGGCCAACGCAGGAGGAUUUCGAUAGCCACGGGUGGAUUCUACAGGACGGAUAGUGCUUUGUGCCAGUGUGUGAGCCUUCAAUUGAUGGGUGUUGCAAUGUGAGGAAAACACAUUGAAGAGGGUCACUGCUGUCACAACCGCACAGACAGGGGAACAACGACAGA